rnacentral:rRNA from 1 species
CAGUAGCCACGGUAAUACAGAGGGUGCGAGCGUUAAUCGGAUUUACUGGGCGUAAAGCGUGCGUAGGCGGCUUCUUAAGUCGGAUGUGAAAUCCCUGAGCUUAACUUAGGAAUUGCACUCGAUACUGGGAAGCUAGAGUAUGGGAGAGGAUGGUAGAAUUCCAGGUGUAGCGGUGAAAUGCGUAGAGAUCUGGAGGAAUACCGAUGGCGAAGGCAGCCAUCUGGCCUAAUACUGACGCUGAGGUACGAAAGCAUGGGGAGCAAACAGGAUUAGAUACCCCCGUAGUCCCUGUCUCUUAUAC